UGAGAUGCCAGGUUGGUGCAUGAUGACAGCGAAAGGGGGGGGGAGGACCAGGCAAGGCAGCAAGCAGCAGCUGGCAAGGCUGUGCCCGCAGGGAGAUGGGAGGCAAGAGAGAGGGCCAGAGCGAACGGAUUGGCACCAGGGUGGAGGCUGGCGCGCCGCGUGCAAAUCUCUCUCUUUUCUCUCUGAGAUGUGUGCGAGGGUGUACGCCGCUUUUCUCGUGCUGGCACCGUGCCCCCCCCGGCUCCACUCUCUCCAUUUGGCAGCAGCUGGCAGGUGGCGAGGUGUUGGGAGGCAUGGAAGGGGCAGGAGGAAGGCGAAAGAAGGCAGAGGAGAUGGAGCCGGGUGGGUGCUUUGGUGACGGGCAUCUGAGGUUGGACCCGGGUGGAGCUGCGGGCAUUUGGGAUGAGAGACCGGGAUUGACACUAGAAUAGGAUCAGAGAGAGAGAGAGAGAGAGGGAGAGAGGCAGACAUGGAAAUAAAAGCCCGGGCAAGUGUGGGGGGUGGGUGCAACUUGGGGGGUGCCAUGUGGGGGAGAGGAAGGGCAGCUGCCAGAUUGUGCCGCGGGCAUUAUUGGCACCCAGAUCAGUUCUGUAUUAAACGUCUCUUCCUCCCUCUCUCUCUCUCUGUCUCUCCCAACCCAGCCCCACUCCCUCUUUUCAGACUGGCACACCUGUGACCAUCUGAAGUUGGCACCGAGUCAAAGCUGGUUGGGGCUGGCAUCACCCGCACUGGCACGUGAACAGAGUCGCUGAUCUUGGCACUGCGGCAAACGGUGGAGAAGCAGAGGAGAAUGAUAAGUCGCUGCCAUCCCUGCUGCCUGGGCACAGCCUCGUCGCAGCAGGCGGAGACCCUGGCGGGCACGGAAGAACGUGGCGCUCGGGAAUGGGGCAGACCGAGCGGCGCUCGGUUGGGUAGACAUCUUCCUUUCUCCUGCUCCUUUCCAUCUAUCUGUUUUCUCUUUCUCAGCCGUAUCGAUCUGCCACCAUUGAACGGAUGUCUGCAGGUCAAGACCAGGAGCUCGGAAGAUCUUCAGUCUUCAGCCAACCUUCUUCGUGGACCAGCAAGUUCAGCUACUGAUGGAUUGAUUGUGUGACUGCGGAAAUGGCUAAAAGCCCCCCAUCCAAACAAUGACUAACAUCAGUGGAGCUUCCAGCAUGGAUGGCCGGAUCCCUGCAGAAGCAAGAGUCCAUCUCCCAGAGUGCUUUGCUGCAUCCCAGAGGAUUGUGGGACAUGCAGGGACACCGCUUCCUCGCAUCGUGAGCACCUGCCUGGAAAUCAACACAUGACCUACAGCCCAGUGACAGCAGGUACCUGAGGCUAGAUCUGUACACGGUAGGCAAAAUAUCAGACUUCCACUACUGUUUAAAGCAAACCUUAAUGUGGUGCUAAAAAGAACCUUUUCUAAGCUCCACAUAAGUCACACACCCAUUUGCAUAUAUUUGCAUAGCUUAUUCCUGCCAGCAAAGCAAAGGGCCCAAGGGCGACGCUGGACACCCCACACUAGAAAGCCACUUCAGGCAGACGUCCCCUUCUAACUUCUGAUACAAUCUUUAAAUAAGCCGGGUUUGGGAUCAAUAAGGGCUAGCAACUUGGCUUGCGAUUUCUGAAAGAGAGUCACACAUUGCACUACAACUUAUAUACAUGAUGAACUAGCCGCAAGACUGUCUUGGUACAAUUCAGCGGAAUGUUUGCCUCAACGCAGGACUGGGGGAAUCAAGGUUGUGUUAAGCUGGGUGCUGGAAAAGCUAUCUGGGACCUUGAGGCUUGUGGUUCGAGUCGAGAUGUCCUACUAAGAAUUGAGUGGCCCUGACGGAUUGUACAGCUGAGGGGGAAAGUGUGCAUUACCGGAAUCGUAUCCUGAGGGUGAGGGAAACUGUUCUGAAGGAUGAGUGACUUGACUUGGGCCACAGAGCCAUGGAAAUUCAAGUCUCUACGCCCAGGGAACUACACUUCCUUCUCCCACCUACAGCCCAUCUAUGCUACUGCAAGCAUGGGUGGAGUUGCAAAUGUUUUUUUCACGGUGAAACAAUCUCACAAGACAAACUCUGAGCAUGUACAUGGUGCACCGAUGCGGCUGCCAUGUGCACUAAUGCUGCAUACAUGAGCCGAGGCAUGGCAUACCCAACAUUUGUUUAAAACAGGCAUAGGCAA